UGGAGCCCAUGGUGCUCCUAGAGGCACUGGCAAAGCCAGGACUGGUCCCCUGUGCCACUUGUCACACCAGAGCACCCUGGCCCUUGUCAGGCCUGUGUCACGGACAUAUCUGUCACCUGCAUGUCCUUGCCACUCUGAUGUGAGUGUGUUGCCCUGCACCCAGAUCAUCCCAUUGUUUGCCAAGCAGAGCUGGUGGUGCUGUGGGCAGGGACAGGGUGAUGCAAAACCGGGUACUUCUCUGUGAGACAGAGCCCUGAGAUGCCUGGGCUGGGGGGCUGGAGGGGACAGGGGCACUGGGUAGGGGCUGUCCUCUCCUCCCACCUCCUGGCAUCCAUGCUGGACAAGGCUGGUGUACUCAUGGCAGGGGCUACAGAGGAAUGUAAGAGCCAGCUCCUUGCUCCAUGCCCUGAUGCUUAUCAGCCCCAUACAGAGGAGUGCCAGGAGCCCUAGGACUGUGCAGGGUUUGGGCCCCCCCUUCAUUAGACACAGUGUCCCUCUCCCUGCCCGGUGGAAGCAGCAGGGUGCGAGGACGCUUGUCCCCCUGCCAGCCUUCUGCAGUGACCCCUGUGCAGGGGUGGCCUGUCCAUCCACAGCAGCAUCAGGCAGGGACCUGAGUGUCAUGGGAGCCUGCAGCGUGUCCCUGGCUGGGCGGCAGGGGUGGGACAGGGUAACCCAGUCAGAGAUGGGAGUGGGGCUGGCCCUUCUCUCACCCCCUGCUCUCUGCAGGCCCAUGAGCAAGAUGAUGUGGUGGAGCAGGACCACAUCCCAGCUGGGAUGCAGGAGCUACGCAGUCGGCAGGCAGAAGACCCCCAGAAACCCAGUACCCAGGCUGUGGUCUCGGGGACUCUCGCGCUCCUGGAGCUGCAGCAGGCCCCAGAACCUGGUCUGGAGCCUGAAGGUGGUGGUGAGGAGCCAGAGCAGGUCCAGCUGUGCUCCCUGGGCACUGCUCAUCCCAAGGGACAGCACCAGGUGGCCUGGAAGGAAGGAGGCCCACGCAGCCCUGCCACUGCCCAGGAGCCCAGUGGAGGGAGAAACCACUGGGUGGAGCAGCCCCCCAUGGGCCAUCCCAGUGCUGGCAGCCAGGGCAGCCAGGUACAGAAGUGGUGGCACUGAGGUCGCCACUGCCCUCUUCACCCCUGGGGCUGGUGGUCCUGUGGGUGAAGGCAGCUUGAUGGCAUAGGAGGGUGCGUGUGCCCCCCCAGCUUUGCCUCUUUCCCUCCCUGCAGCUUGGUGUCAGGGUGCGCAGCCAGGUGCCAGCACUGGCCGGUAGGCAUGGUGAGCCGCCAUCAGGUAAGUGCAGCCCCAUGGGGAGAGUGCUGGGGCUGUGUCCCCCCCAGCUGGACAAUGCCCUUUAGGGGGCCCCUGCUGCAUCCCUGCCCUGCAGCACGUGCAUCCCGGCAGCGUGGGGAAGGGCAUCAGCCCUGGGGAUGUGACAAACCCACAAGGGCUGGGGCAGAAAUGUGAGGGCAGGAGGUGGCCAGGCCAAGGGUCAUCCCCAGCUGGUGGCAAUUUGCUCCCUGGCCAUAUGGUAACGGUGCCUGCCCCAGCUGGGUGCUAGGGGAGCAGGGUGCCUGGUGGCCUGUUUACCAGUCCCCCAGCUCCAGGCUGAGCGGCAGCACAGCCAUGAAAGGGAAACGGUGCCUGCAGCAAACCCCAGCCUUUUGCAUUCUUUGUCCCAAUAAGGCCAGGAGCCGUGUGCUGGCUGGCCCUGACCUUCCUGGGGCUGCACUGACUGGCCCAGCCAGGGCCCGGUACCCUCUGGGUCCUCCCUGUAGCCUUGAGGGAUCACAGUUGUCAGCAGCUGCUUUCUUCCUACUGCUGGGAAAACCAUUCCUGAGGUUGUGGCUGUGCUGGGAGGAAACAGGGGUUAAAAAAACAGAGAGCAGUGCUCUGUCCCCAGGGUGAAGGUUCCCACUCAGGGUCACACUUGCAGAAAACGGCUGCUUUCCUCCAAGAAGCCCCGGGGGUCUGCUGGCUUCUGAGAAGGCAGAAACCCUGGGGAGAUUGCAUGGGAUGGUGCACUGCAGCAUGGCACACCGCUGGGGCAGAGGGAAGUGUGCAGGACCUGACCCACCUUGCCUCACCUGGGGGUUCAAACCUGGGUACUGGGGAAAGGCUGAGCUGCCCUCCUGCUUGGGCAUCAGCAACUCCAGCCCCAUGCCAGCAUGCUGCCUGUUCAG
ensembl:lncRNA